GAAUUCCACGUGUAGCGGUGAAAUGCGUAGAGAUGUGGAGGAACACCAGUGGCGAAGGCGACUCUCUGGUCUGUAACUGACGCUGAGGAGCGAAAGCGUGGGGAGCGAACAGGAUUAGAUACCCUGGUAGUCCACGCCGUAAACGAUGAGUGCUAAGUGUUAGGGGGUUUCCGCCCCUUAGUGCUGCAGCUAACGCAUUAAGCACUCCGCCUGGGGAGUACGGUCGCAAGACUGAAACUCAAAGGAAUUGACGGGGGCCCGCACAAGCGGUGGAGCAUGUGGUUUAAUUCGAAGCAACGCGAAGAACCUUACCAGGUCUUGACAUCCUCUGACAAUCCUAGAGAUAGGACGUCCCCUUCGGGGGCAGAGUGACAGGUGGUGCAUGGUUGUCGUCAGCUCGUGUCGUGAGAUGUUGGGUUAAGUCCCGCAACGAGCGCAACCCUUGAUCUUAGUUGCCAGCAUUCAGUUGGGCACUCUAAGGUGACUGCCGGUGACAAACCGGAGGAAGGUGGGGAUGACGUCAAAUCAUCAUGCCCCUUAUGACCUGGGCUACAC
rnacentral:rRNA from 1 species